rnacentral:Y_RNA from 1 species
GGCUGGUCCGAUGGUAGUGGGUUAUCGGAACUUAUUAACAUUAGUGUCACUAAAGUUGGUAUUCAACCCCCCACUGCUAAAUUUGACUGGCUUUUA